CCUGUAAUACAUGGAUGGGGCCUUUCUGCAAGAAGAAUUAUCUAUGAAUGUGGGGUUUGUCUGUUUUUUAUUGAGAGAGAAUGAUGAGAAACAAUAUUUUGUUUCAGAUUCUUAAAUGCAGACUGGAAUAGGUGAGACUUACCAUUGCAGACCUGAGAGAAGGAAAGAAUGCUAUAUGACUGUUCAAUAUCAGUGAGGAAGCAGUCGUUGAUGCUACAAAUAAAGGGAGUAUAGCUGGGCUUAUUAACCAUUAUUAAGCAGUUCCAUGUAAUGUUUCUUUUCAUUAGAAUAUAUGCUGGUUCCAUCACUCCUCCUUUCAGUGUAAGAUGCAGCGGUUUUUGAAGUGCAAUAAUGGUAAAUACACAAAUGCGUUGUUUGCCAAAUAUUUAAUAAACUUUAGUGAGACCGGUUUUCUGUAAACAUGAGUUGGUCAAAACCAUGUAAACAAAUUAUGAUGUCAUCUAACAUGUUCAAUUGCGAUAGAGAAACUCAGAUAAUAAA